rnacentral:lncRNA from 1 species
CCUCUUUAUUAUUGUCAGUCAUCGUUCAUCUUUCACCGUCCUCUUUCAUCUGUAUGGUCAAAAUGUCCCCCUGUUCUAAAAUUAUAGUAAGCGGUUGCGAGAGCAAAAUGGGUUUUGGAGAACAGACUGGAAAAUUGGUGUGAGUGGGAUGAAAAUACAUCCGUGUGUGGAAGCGGCAUAUUUGUGACAGUGCAGUCAUUUCUGAGUCUUGACAUGUAGUAAGUAUUUCUUCAGGCAAACAAAAGUCUCUGCUGUCAAAUUCAUUUAAUGCAGUUGCGCUCGCUCAAAGUCACACUUGCAAGUCCUCAAGUUUAAUUUGCGCACACCACGUUGGCCUGCGCUCUCGGAAAACGUCCUAUGCUCGCUCGACCACAUUUUCUCUCGGUAAAAGUGUUUGACUGCGCAAUGAUGUUUCAUCUUGCUUUCUCGCGCGAUGGCGCCCGUUCGACUUUUUUUAAUCGGAUUUGACGCCAUACAGUUGUAGUGGUUUCUCUGUGGUGUAUAUACAUUGGAGUUAUCCAACGUUUGCGUCAAAUUGUAUGCGUAGACUUUCCAGAAAUAGUGACAAAAGGUGCAGGUGCGGCUGUGGAAAUCCAACGAUUCUCUGUCCAGAGAUAACAAGUGAACUCCAAUCAAGUUUUAGAAACAUCUCAAGGAUGGUCAAUGGAAACAGGAUGCACCUGAGCAACAUUUUGAGUCUCUUAACGAAGGGUCUGAAUAAUUAUGUAAAUAAGGUAUCUGUUUUUUCAUUUUUAAU